rnacentral:rRNA from 1 species
GACGAACGCUGGCGGCGUGCUUAACACAUGCAAGUCGAGCGGAGCGGCGAACGGGUGAGUAACGCGUGAGUAACUGCCCCCCUCUCUGGGAUAACAGUUGGAAACGGCUGCUCAUACCGGAUAGUGGGGGAUGACUCGCGUCCUAUCCGCUUGUUGGUUGGGUAGUGGCCUACCAAGGCGACGACGGGUAGCCGGCCUGAGAGGGCGACAGGCCACAUUGGGCUGAGAUACGGACCAAAAUCCUACGGGAGGCAGCAGGGGGGAAUAUUGCACAAGGGGGGAAACCCUGAUGCAGAAACGCCGGGUGCGGGAUGACGGCCUGCGGGGUGUAAACAGCUUUAAGACAUGACGCGGUAGUGGCAGAAGAAGCACCGGCUAACUACGUGCCAGCAGCCGCGGUAAUUC